rnacentral:rRNA from 1 species
AGAGUUUGAUCCUGGCUCAGGAUGAACGCUAGCGGCAGGCUUAACACAUGCAAGUCGAGGGGUAACGCGGGGUAGCAAUACUCUGGCGACGACCGGCGCACGGGUGCGUAACGCGUAUGCAACCUACCUGUAACAGGGGGAUAACGGAGGGAAACUUCCACUAAUACCCCAUAUUGUCAUUCUUUCGCAUGUUAGGAUGACGAAAGCUUCGGUGGUUACGGAUGGGCAUGCGUGACAUUAGGUAGUUGGUGAGGCAACGGCUCACCAAGCCGACGAUGUCUAGGGGAGCUGAGAGGCUUAUCCCCCACACUGGUACUGAGACACGGACCAGACUCCUACGGGAGGCAGCAGUGAGGAAUAUUGGUCAAUGGACGGAAGUCUGAACCAGCCAUGCCGCGUGGAGGAAGAAGGUCCUAUGGGUUGUAAACUGCUUUUAUAGGGGAAUAAAGUGUGGUACGUGUACCGUUUUGUAUGUACCCUAUGAAUAAGGACCGGCUAAUUCCGUGCCAGCAGCCGCGGUAAUACAGAAGGUCCGGGCGUUAUCCGGAUUUAUUGGGUUUAAAGGGAGCGCAGGCGGGACCUUAAGCGUGUUGUGAAAUGUACCGGCUCAACCGGUGAUGUGCAGCGCGAACUGGGGUUCUUGAGUGGGUACGACGUCGGCGGAAUUCGUGGUGUAGCGGUGAAAUGCUUAGAUAUCACGAGGAACCCCGAUUGCGAAGGCAGCCGACGAGUCCCUUACUGACGCUAAUGCUCGAAAGUGCGGGUAUCGAACAGGAUUAGAUACCCUGGUAGUCCGCAUGGUAAACGAUGGAUGCCCGCUGUUGGCGAUACAAUGUCAGCGGCCAAGCGAAAGCGUUAAGCAUCCCACCUGGGGAGUACGCCGGCAACGGUGAAACUCAAAGGAAUUGACGGGGGCCCGCACAAGCGGAGGAACAUGUGGUUUAAUUCGAUGAUACGCGAGGAACCUUACCCGGGCUUGAACUGCCGGCGAACGAUUCAGAGAUGAUGAGGCCCUUCGGGGCGCCGGUGGAGGUGCUGCAUGGUUGUCGUCAGCUCGUGCCGUGAGGUGUCAGGUUAAGUCCUAUAACGAGCGCAACCCCUGCCGACAGUUGCCAGCGUGCAAGACGGGGACUCUGUCGGGACUGCCGGCGCAAGCCGCGAGGAAGGUGGGGAUGACGUCAAAUCAGCACGGCCCUUACGUCUAGGGCGACACACGUGUUACAAUGGCCGGUACAGAGGGCAGCCACCCCGCGAGGGGGAGCGAAUCUCGAAAGCCGGUCUCAGUUCGGAUCGGAGUCUGCAACCCGACUCCGUGAAGUUGGAUUCGCUAGUAAUCGCGCAUCAGCCAUGGCGCGAUGAAUACGUUCCCGGGCCUUGCACACACCGCCCGUCAAG